rnacentral:rRNA from 1 species
UAGUCCACGCCGUAAACGAUAUUCACUCGCUGUCUGCGAUACACAGUAGGCGGCUUAGCGAAAGCAUUAAGUGAACCACCUGGGGAGUACGAUCGCAAGGUUGAAACUCAAAGGAAUUGACGGGGGCCCGCACAAGCGGAGGAACAUGUGGUUUAAUUCGAUGAUACGCGAGGAACCUUACCUGGGCUUAAAUGUAGAUUGCAUAUCUUAGAGAUAGGAUUUUCCUUCGGGACUAUCUACAAGGUGCUGCAUGGUUGUCGUCAGCUCGUACCGUGAGGUGUCGGGUUAAGUCCCAUAACGAGCGCAACCCCUAUCGUUAGUUGCUAGCAGGUAAUGCUGAGGACUCUAGCGAGACUGCCACCGUAAGGUGAGAGGAAGGUGGGGAUGACGUCAAAUCAGCACGGCCCUUAUGUCCAGGGGCUACACACGUGUUACAAUGGCAGGUACAAAGGGGCAGGCUACCAGGUGACUGGGAUGGCUAAUCUCUAAAGCCUGUCCCAGUUCGGA